AAAAAAAAAAAAAAAAGAAUAGAAGAUUGAAAGUUUUGAAUAUGAAACAUCAUGUUAAAUGACAAGUCUGUGAGUCAUCUUAGAAGUUACCAUUUACAAAGCUAUUCUAAACAAGAUAAAACUACCACAUAAAUUGCAGAAACAGAUAAAAACUUUCCAAAACAUUUUUCAAAUGAAGCCAACAAGAACAAGGAAAAAAAAAAUCCAAAACCCUGCAAUUGAAACACUCACCAACAAAUUCA
rnacentral:misc_RNA from 1 species